AUCGAACGCUGGCGGCAUGCUUAACACAUGCAAGUCGAGCGAGCGGAGGACGGGUGAGUAAUGUAUGGGAAACUGCCUGAUGGAGGGGGAUAACUACUGGAAACGGUAGCUAAUACAGCAUAACAUCCGUUGUGCCCAGAUGGGAUUAGCUAGUAGGUGGGGUAAGGGCGCACCUAGGCGACGAUCCAUAGCUGGUCUGAGAGGAUGACUGUCCACACUGGAACUGAGAAACGGCCCAGACUCCUAUGGGAGGCAGAUGUGGGGAAUAUUGCACAAUGGGCGCAAGCCUGAUCCAGCCAAGCCGCGUGUGUUAAGAAGGCCUUCGGGUUGUAAAGCACUGUCAGCGAAGAGGCGUUACUGACCGAGGAAGCACCGGCUAACUCCGUGCCAGCAGCCGCGGUAAUUC
rnacentral:rRNA from 1 species